CCUCAAGACAAUUACCUGCAUGAAUGUGUGCACCAGAGUAACAUUUUGAUUAUGAAUUCAUCUGUGAGUACACCGGCUGUUGUGAGUGCAAACAGGGCUCCACCCACCACCCAGUUCUCCUUUCCAGGCCUUGGCAGGACCCAGAGAUGUGCUCAUACCUGUCUGAAUUCUGUUCAGCUGGCCCUGCCACCACUGUGCUUGGCUGACUUCGGGAGCCUGUUGUAACCGAACAAGACACAAAGCUGUGGAAACCGGUCUGGACUCGCCUAGACACUCCAGAGAACUAUUGGUGAAGUGGGAGAUACAAACUUACAUGAUUUUUGAAGCAAAAAUGCAAUAAUGGUACCUUUGCUGUUACUGAUUCUGCAGUUAGCAUCAAGAUGUGGCUGAGACAUAAUUCAUCUUAUAUUAUAUUUGUGUACUAAAGGCAACAUGAAUAAGCAUGUGACUAAACUAAGGAUUGAACUCAUCAGAAAUAAAAAUGAGUUGUAAUUGUUAUUUGAA